rnacentral:rRNA from 1 species
GUGGGGAAUCUUGCACAAUGGGGGAAACCCUGAUGCAGCGACGCCGCGUGAGCGAUGAAGCCCUUCGGGGUGUAAAGCUCUUUCGGCAGGGACGAUAAUGACGGUACCUGCAGAAGAAGCUGCGGCUAACUACGUGCCAGCAGCCGCGGUAAUACGUAGGCAGCAAGCGUUGUUCGGAAUUACUGGGCGUAAAGAGUGCGUAGGCGGUUAGGUAAGUCCGUUGUGAAAUCUCCCGGCUCAACUGGGAGGGUGCAGCGGAAACUGCCUGGCUAGAGUGUGGGAGAGGGAAGUGGAAUUCCUGGUGUAGCGGUGAAAUGCGUAGAUAUCAGGAGGAACACCUGCGGUGUAGACGGCUUCCUGGACCACUACUGACGCUGAGGCACGAAAGCGUGGGGAGCAAACAGGAUUAGAUACCCGUGUAGUCC